AUGACUUCCAAAAGACAAUACGUUCUAUAUCCAAAUAGGUCUUUUCAAAGGGAAAGCCAUGUUACCAACCUAAAUUCAAGAAGAAGGAUUAAUUUUUCAUCAUCAAGUUGCAACUCAGAAAAUAAUAUCAGUAUCAGAAAGCCAGAAAAUCGCGAGGUAUGUCAUAACUGGAUUCUCUCGAUACCUAAAAAUGCAGCCAAAGAUUCUGAAGUGGAAAUUCCUAUUCCUCCUAGUCUACAUAGAUCCCUAACUGAUUCUAAAAACUCUCUGAUUGGUUCAAUCAUAGAAGAAUGUGGCAAAGUUCAGAUUCAUUUUACACGUAACAUCCAAGGACCUCAAAAAGUCAUUAUUAGUGGCCCCACAGAAAUUGUUGAAAAAACCAAGAAAAAGUUUCUACAACUCGCAGAAGAGGAGCAAGCCAAAAGUUACUCUGUGGCUAUUCCUGUCAAGUCAAAAUAUCACCAAUUUCUUAUGAGUAAAAAUGGUGGCAAUCUUCAGAAAAUCUGUGAGAAGACAGGGGCACGAAUCAUUUUUCCUACCUUUAAGACCAAGGAUCAAGAAUCAGUAACUAUCAUAGGAACAGAAGAGGCUGUUAAAAAUGUGCAAAAAGACUUAGAGGUUUUACUGAAAGAUUUGGAGGAUGUGGUGGAGGACAGCAUAUUGAUAAGUCCUAAGUACCACAAUUACUUUGUUAUGCAAAGGGGACAACUUUUACGAGAAAUAAUUAAAGAAUAUGGUGGUGUAUUUAUUACAUUUUCUUAUGCUGGAAAACAGAGUACAAAAGUUACAAUAAAAGGAGCAAAACCUUGUGUGGAAGCAGCAAAGAAACAUAUUCAGGGGAUAUUUGAUCCCUUGGGUUCUCAAGUCACAGCACAGUGUGUUGUUCCCCCCAAAUUCCAUCCUUUUAUCAUGGGACCUAUAUGCUCUCGAAUUCAACAGAUUUCAAGAGACUGUAAAGUUCAAAUCAAAUUUCCAGACACAGACAAGACUACUAGGAAGACACGUCCAGAGCUUCAGGAAAUGGGAAAAGAAAACGGUGGAAAGAAUAUAAAAAAAAUUGCUUCUACUUCUCCUAAGAAAAGUGACACCAUGUCUAUUUCAGGCAAAAUAGAAAAUUGCAAGGAGGCCGCACAAGCUCUGGAGAAUCUUGUUCCUGUCACCGCUGAAGUUCAAGUACCUUUUCAUUUACAUCCUUACAUCAUUGGGCACAAAGGAAGUGGAUUACGCAAGCUAAUAAAAGACUUUGAAGUUCAUAUUCAAGUAUCACAACCUGGAGGAAAUUUUCACAUCAUAUCAAUUAUGGGCCUUGAAGCAAAUGUGGAACAAGCCAAGACGAAAUUGCAAAAUCAAGUAAAAGCCUUACAAAUGGAACUAGACGAUCAGACACUAAGAAAUUUCAGGCAAACAUUCAGAUUAGAUCCCAAAUAUCAUUCCAAGAUCUUUGGUAAUAAAGGUAUACUUAUUUCCCAAAUUUGCACAGAAUAUGAUGUCACUGUCCAUUUUUCAAAGAAAGGAAGCAACUCGAUCCAAGACCAAAUUACCAUUUCUGGCUCUAAAAGUAACAUCCUCGGUGCCCGUGAUGCAAUAAUGAACAUGCUGCCUAAGAUUGAAAAAACAGUUUCCAAGGAAAUCCCACUGAACCACCAUGUUUGUGCCAAUAUUAUUGGAUUUGGUGGAAAAUCCAUCCAGAAAAUCAUGGAACAAUUCCAAGUAGACAUCCGUGUACCUUCAAAAGGAUCUUGUAAUAAUUCUAGCAUCAUUGUAAGUGGAUCAUCUUAUAAUGUGCAAGAAGCAAUUGACUAUAUCUUAAAUCUUGAGAAACAUUUCCUAUCUGUUGGAAAAUCUGAUCCUCCAUUGGACCAUCAUAAGCGUGGUGGUCUUUGUAACACAGCUGCAAGAACAUCUAAGAGUUUUAGUAAAAGAAAUGCUCUUCGUAAUGCAAAAUCCAGCACACAUCCUCCACGUAUGGACAAUUCUGAAGAUUUCCCCAAAUUGAAACAUCAAACAUCUCCUAAGCUUCACCCUUGGAGACCGUAA